CGGGGUGCCCAGGCGCGAAAACUUUACAAUGCUGGCAACAGCGAUAAGGGGACCUCGAGUGCCAGGAUACAAUCUUGGCUGUCGCGAUGCCUAAAAAGCAUUGCAUAGCAAGGGCCGGGCAAGACCGGUGCCAGCCGCCGCGGUAACACCGGCGGCUCGAGUGGUAACCGCUAUUAUUGGGUCUAAAGGGUCUGUAGCCGGCCGGAUAAGUCUUUUGGGAAAUCCAGCUGCUCAACAGUUGGGCUUUCAGAAGAUACUGUUCGGCUCGAGACCGGGAGAGGUGGGAGGUACUUCAGGGGUAGGGGUGAAAUCUUGUAAUCCUUGAAGGACCACCAGUGGCGAAGGCGUCUCACCAGAACGGAUCUGACGGCAAGGGACGAAAGCUAGGGGCACGAACCGGAUUAGAUACCCGGGUAGUCCUAGCCGUAAACGAUACUCGCUAGGUGUCAGCCACGGUGCGACCGUGGUUGGUGCCGUAGGGAAGCCGUGAAGCGAGCCACCUGGGAAGUACGGCCGCAAGGCUGAAACUUAAAGGAAUUGGCGGGGGAGCAC
rnacentral:rRNA from 1 species